CCUACGGGAGGCAGCAGUGAGGAAUAUUGGUCAAUGGUCGGGAGACUGAACCAGCCAAGCCGCGUGAGGGAGGAAGGUACAGAGUAUCGUAAACCUCUUUUGUCAGGGAACAAAGGCGGGGACGUGUCCCCGGAUGAGUGUACCUGAAGAAAAAGCAUCGGCUAACUCCGUGCCAGCAGCCGCGGUAAUACGGAGGAUGUGAGCGUUAUCCGGAUUUAUUGGGUUUAAAGGGUGCGCAGGCGGUCUGUUAAGUCAGCGGGCAAAGCCCGGGGCUCACCCCCGGCCCGCCGUUGAAACUGGCAGUCUCGAGUGGGAGAGAAGUAUGCGGAAUGCGCGGUGUAGCGGUGAAAUGCAUAGAUAUCGCGCAGAACUCCGAUUGCGAAGGCAGCAUGCCGGCUCCACACUGACGCUGAGGCACGAAAGCGUGGGUAUCGAACAGGAUUAGAUACCCUUGUAGUC
rnacentral:rRNA from 1 species